UGUGAUAAAUCUCCAUGAUCUGAUUUUUUCUCAUUCUGUUUGAGGUUGAGAUGUGAAAAAUUUUGAUAUUUUUGUCACCCUUAUGCAACCACAUAGUUCGAGAUCUUUGCUUUCGCAUGAUCUUUUCUUGUUGUAAAAAAGAAUCGAGCUUAAGCUUAAGAUCUCUCUUGAAAGCUCGUUCUGCAGGGUCGAGACAAUACUGUUCUUCUACCACAUCAAAUUCAAUUAUU
rnacentral:lncRNA from 1 species